GACGAACGCUGGCGGCGUGCCUAAUACAUGCAAGUCGAGCGGAUUUUCGGAAGCUUGCUUCCGAAAAUUAGCGGCGGACGGGUGAGUAACACGUGGGCAACCUGCCUGUAAGACUGGGAUAACUUCGGGAAACCGGAGCUAGUACCGGAUACAUUCUUCCCUCGCAUGAGGGAAGAUGGAAAGACGGCUUUACUGUCACUUACAGAAGGGCCCGCGGCGCAUUAGCUAGUUGGUGGGGUAAUGGCCCAGCAAGGCGACGAUGCGUAGCCGACCGGAGAGGGUGAUCGGCCACACUGGGACUGAGACACGGCCCAGACUCCGACGGGAGGCAGCAGUAGGGAAUCUUCCGCAAUGGACGAAAGUCUGACGGAGCAACGCCGCGUGAGCGAAGAAGGCCUUCGGGUCGUAAAGCUCUGUUGUCAGGGAAGAACAAGUACCAUAGUAACUGAUGGUACCUUGACGGUACCUGACCAGAAAGCCACGGCUAACUACGUGCCAGCAGCCGCCGUAA
rnacentral:rRNA from 1 species